rnacentral:rRNA from 1 species
UACGAAGGGGGCUAGCGUUGUUCGGAUUUACUGGGCGUAAAGCGCACGUAGGCGGAUCGUUAAGUCGGGGGUGAAAUCCUGGAGCUCAACUCCAGAACUGCCUUCGAUACUGGAGAGCUUGAGUCCGGGAGAGGUGAGUGGAACUGCGAGUGUAGAGGUGAAAUUCGUAGAUAUUCGCAAGAACACCAGUGGCGAAGGCGGCUCACUGGCCCGGUACUGACGCUGAGGUGCGAAAGCGUGGGGAGCAAACAGG